rnacentral:pre_miRNA from 1 species
AAUAAGUGUAGUUUUGCACUAUUCACGUUCAACGUUUGACCGUCCGUCUUAUUUGAAAUUUUUUUAUAAUUAGUAUUUUUAUUGCUAUUAGAUGAUAAAACAUGAAUAGUACUUUAUGUGUGACUAAAUGUUUUUAAUUUUUUCAUAAAUGUUUCAAAUAAGACGGACGGUCAAACGUUGAACGUGAAUAGUACAAAACUGCACUUAUU